rnacentral:lncRNA from 1 species
AUACUGUAGCUAUGUAAUUUAUAUGGGGAUUAUACUGUAGCUGUGUAAUUUAUAUGGGGAUUAUACUGUAGCUAUGCAAUUUAUCUCUGGAUUAUACUGUAGCUGUGUAAUUUAUCUGGGGAUUAUACUGUAGCUAUGUAUUUUAUAUGGGUAUUACAACAGUACAGUGUAUUUAUAUGGACAUUAUACUGUGGCUGUGUAUAUAUAUGGACAUUAUACUGUAGCUAUGCAAUUUAUCUCUGGAUUAUACUGUAGCUGUGUAAUUUAUCUGGGGAUUAUAUGGUAGCUGUGUAAUCUAUCUGGGGAUUAUACUGUAGCUAUGUAUUUUAUAUGGGCAUUACAACAGUACAGUGUAUUUAUAUGGGCAUUAUACCAGUACAGUGUAUUUAUAUGGGCAUUACAACAGUACAGUGUAUUUAUAUGGGUAUUACAACAGUACAGUGUAUUUAUAUGGGUAUUACAACAGUACAGUGUAUUUAUAUGGGCAUUACAACAGUACAGUGUAUUUAUAUGGGCAUUACAACAGUACAGUGUAUUUAUAUGGGCAUUACAACAGUACAGUGUAUUUAUAUGGGUAUUAUACUGUAGCUGUGUAUUUAUAUGGGUAUUAUAACAGUACAGUGUAUUUAUAUGGGUAUUACAACAGUACAGUGUAUUUAUAUGGGCAUUACAACAGUACAGUGUAUUUAUAUGGGCAUUACAACAGUACAGUGUAUUUAUAUGGGUAUUAUACUGUAGCUGUGUAUUUAUAUGGGUAUUACAACAGUACAGUGUAUUUAUAUGGGUAUUACAACAUUACAGUGUAUUUAUAUGGGCAUUACAACAGUACAGUGUAUUUAUAUGGGUAUUACAACAGUACAGUGUAUUUAUAUGGGUAUUACAACAGUACCGUGUAUUUAUAUGGGCAUUACAACAGUACAGUGUAUUUAUAUGGGCAUUACAACAGUACAGUGUAUUUAUAUGGUAUUACAACAGUACAGUGUAUUUAUAUGGGCAUUACAACAGUACAGUGUAUUUAUAUGGGUAUUACAACAGUACAGUGUCUUUAUAUGGGUAUUACAACAGUACAGUGUAUUUAUAUGGGGAUUACAACAGUACAGUGUCUUUAUAUGGGUAUUACAACAGUACAGUGUAUUUAUAUGGGCAUUACAACAUUACAGUGUAUUUAUAUGGGUAUUACAACAGUACAGUGUAUUUAUAUGGGUAUUACAACAGUACAGUGUAUUUAUAUGGGCAUUAUACUGUAGCUGUGUAUUUAUAUGGGCAUUACAACAGUACAGUGUAUUUAUAUGGGUAUUAUACUGUAGCUGUGUAUUUUAUAUGGGCAUUACAACAGUACAGUGUAUUUAUAUGGGUAUUAUACUGUAGCUGUGUAUUUUAUAUGGGCAUUACAACAGUACAGUGUAUUUAUAUGGGUAUUACAACAGUACAGUGUAUUUAUAUGGGCAUUACAACAGUACAGUGUAUUUAUAUGGGCAUUACAACAGUACAGUGUAUUUAUAUGGGCAUUACAACAGUACAGUGUAUUUAUAUGUGUAUUACAACAGUGCAGUGUAUUUAUAUGGGCAUUACAACAGUACAGUGUAUUUAUAUGGGCAUUACAACAGUACAGUGUAUUUAUAUGGGUAUUACAACAGUACAGUGUAUUUAUAUGGGUAUUACAACAGUACAGUGUAUUUAUAUGGGCAUUACAACAGUACAGUGUAUUUACAUGGGGAUUACAACAGUGCAGUGUGAGUUCCAGUAUGUUUCUGUGUUGGUGCUGGUAAACAACAACACAGUUCUCAUAUGGUAAACAAUGUUGAGUGGAGAACUAAAGAGAUGCCAGUCUCUCAGAUAUUAGUUUGUUUGGUGAGAAAGAAGGUCUGUCUGCAUUUUACCCAAGACUCCGGGCAUUUCAUAAUACAUCUUGAUGACUCUGAUGCGUAUCUGAAAUGGAACUCUGUUCCUUACUCACCCCUGUCUGUCCCAGUGUCUUCCUGUACGCCCCUCUUCCUGUUUCUCCCAUUGCCUUCAGGGCUGUUGCACUUCUCAGCAACCUCUUUUUAUCUUAUCAUCUUUGAUGUGGCCCUGUCACACUCCCUGUCACACAGUAAUACCAUCCUUCCAAUAAAGACCAUGAUAAAGACUGAUGAUUCUCCUCCAGUAUAUAUUUAGCCCAGACUGCCAUAGUUUCAGACAUAUUAGGUGUGAUGAAUAUCUUUCAUUGAUUUCAUGAUGCUUCAGUGGGAUAAAUGAUAGAGUUAACCCAGUGUUCUUU